GUGAAGCGGUAACAGCUUCAAAUUUGAAAUCUGGGCCCCUCGGGCCUCGUGUUGUAAUUUGUAGAAGAUGCUUCGGGUGCGGCGCUGGUCUAAGUUCCUUGGAACAGGACGUCAUAGAGGGUGAGAAUCCCGUAUGUGAUCGGCCGCCUGCGCCCGUGUGAAGCUCUUUCGACGAGUCGAGUUGUUUGGGAAUGCAGCUCAAAAAUGGGUGGUAUAUUUUCAUCUAAAGCUAAAUAUUGGCCAGAGACCGAUAGCGCACAAGUAGAGUGAUCGAAAGAUGAAAAAGCACUUUGGAAAGAGAGUUAAACAGUACGUGAAAUUGUUGAAAGGGAAGCGCUUGCGACCAGACUUGCGCGUUGCCGAUCAUCCGGGGUUCUCCCCGGUGCACUCGGCCUCGCUCAGGCCAGCAUCGGUUUCGGUGGUUGGAUAAAGGCCCUGGGAAUGUAGCUUCUCUCGGGGAGUGUUAUAGCCCAGGGCGCAAUGCAGCCCACCGGGACCGAGGACCGCGCUUCGGCUAGGAUGCUGGCGUAAUGGUCGUAAGCGACCCGUCUUGAAACACGGACCAAGGAGUCUAACAUCUAUGCGAGUGUUUGGGUGUCAAACCCAUCCGCGUAAUUAACGUGAACGGAGGUGAGAGCCCUGAAGGGUGCAUCACCGACCGGUCCUGAUGUCUUCGGAUGGAUCUGAGUAAGAGCAUAGCUGUUGGGACCCGAAAGAUGGUGAACUAUGCCUGAAUAGGGUGAAGCCAGAGGAAACUCUGGUGGAGGCUCGCAGCGGUUCUGACGUGCAAAUCGAUCGUCAAAUUUGGGGUAUAGGGGCGAAAGACUAAUCGAACCAUUGGGGUACUAGGUGGUUAAGAGGGGGCCCAGAGAGCCCCCUAGUCCUCAGCCCAGGGCGACACUGUCAAAUUUGUUCGGGGACCCACCCGCCAACUUCCAAGCUACCCGCAGCCCGCGCCCGAAAGGGCGGUGCGCACCCAGGGUAAUGACCUCGGGGAUGGUAACAACGCUUGGAUGGGGUGCACCCGCAGCGAAGGUCCUACCGGCGCCUCGGCGCCCAGGGACAGCGUUCACAGACUAGCAUGGCGGUGGGCCCUGCAGCCGUGCAGGGCUUAAGAUAUAGUCGGACCCCUCUGAGAGGAGGUGGGCAGAGGAAAGCCGCGAGGGGGCGGCUGGGGGGAUCCCCCAGCCCUUCGCGGCCCGGAGCUUGCCCAGGGGCCCUGCGG
rnacentral:rRNA from 1 species